rnacentral:rRNA from 1 species
UACGUAGGGGGCGAGCGUUGUCCGGAGUUACUGGGCGUAAAGAGCGCGUAGGCGGCGCUGUACGACCCGUGUGAAAGCCCCCGGCUCAACUGGGGAGGGUCACGGGUAACGGCAGUGCUCUGAGUGCAGGAGAGGGACGUGGAACUCCGGGAGUAGCGGUGAAAUGCGUAGAGACCCGGAGGAACACCAGUGGCGAAGGCGGCGUCCUGGCCUGCGACUGACGCUGUGGCGCGAAAGCUAGGGGAGCGAACGGG